AAUUUAAUAUUAUAAGUUGGUGUCCAUUGGACUUAAUAGGGAAUUAGGUGAAAUACCUAAGCUGUCCCAGCAACUGUAAACGUGGACGAAUUGACAUAUACCACUGCUUUUAGCGGGAAGGUGUCAAUGUAGAAUGAUGCGUGAGCCAGAAGACCUACCAACUUAUAACUGUUUAA
rnacentral:ncRNA from 2 species